rnacentral:rRNA from 1 species
GCGGCAGGCUUACACCUCAGUCGAGCGGGUGUGCAAUACAUCAGCGGCAGACGGGUGAGUACGCGUGGGAACGUACCUUUUGGUUCGGAACAACACAGGGAAACUUGUGCUAAUACCGGAUAAGCCCUUACGGGGAAAGAUUUAUCGCCGAAAGAUCGGCCCGCGUCUGAUUAGCUAGUUGGUGAGGUAAUGGCUCACCAAGGCGACGAUCAGUAGCUGGUCUGAGAGGAUGAUCAGCCACAUUGGGACUGAGACACGGCCCAAACUCCUACGGGAGGCAGCAGUGGGGAAUAUUGGACAAUGGGGGCAACCCUGAUCCAGCCAUGCCGCGUGAGUGAUGAAGGCCCUAGGGUUGUAAAGCUCUUUUGUGCGGGAAGAUAAUGACGGUACCGCAAGAAUAAGCCCCGGCUAACUUCGUGCCAGCAGCCGCGGUAAUACGAAGGGGGCUAGCGUUGCUCGGAAUCACUGGGCGUAAAGGG